AAAAUAAACUGAAUCCGUUUCCAAGAACUCAGCCUCCUACCUAGUCAGACUGGCGGGUUUUCUUUUUUAUGACAUUUACACUUACAGACACCUUGGAAUACUUCCUGAGCAGAACGGCAUCUUCCUGAUGCCUCUUGAAGGAUAUCUUCGUUCAAGCCCUCUUCAGGUACAGUGAGGUUCACCCUGUUUCCGAAUCCUUUCUCUGGCCUCCAGAAUACAUCCCACGUAGAGUCCCAAGGCUCUUCCUCAACAGUCUAGGAGCUUUGGAACAGAUUUCCUCCUUCCUCUUUGGAGCUUGUCCACAUCCAUAAUCCCCUUUGUCAGAGCACAGGUUUCAUCAGAGAAUGACAAGUGGGUUAUGUUUCCUCAGAAACCUCCACUGGCCCUGACAAGUGGCUGCAGAUACCAGUGUUAUGUUGGACUAAUGUAAGGAGCUGUGAAAAAGACCAUGUGCCUGGUGGUG
rnacentral:lncRNA from 1 species